UACAGAGGUCCCGAGCGUUGUUCGGAUUCAUUGGGCGUAAAGGGUGCGUAGGUGGCGCUGUAAGUGGGGUGUGAAAUCCCGGGGCUUAACCCCGGGACUGCAUUCCAUACUGCGGUGCUUGAGGACUGGAGAGGAGACUGGAAUUUACGGUGUAGCAGUGAAAUGCGUAGAGAUCGUAAGGAGGACCAGUGGCGAAGGCGGGUCUCUGGACAGUUCCUGACACUGAGGCACGAAGGCCAGGGGAGCAAACGGG
rnacentral:rRNA from 1 species